AGUUGUAGAAUCACUGGUGAAUAAGGGGUGGGCAAGUUCUGGUGUCAGCCGCCGCGGUAAAACCAGCACCUCGAGUGGUCAGGAGGUUUAUUGGGCCUAAAGCAUCCGUAGCCGGUUGCAUAAGUUUUCGGUUAAAUCUAUGCGCUUAACGUAUAGGCCGCCGAAAAUACUGUGCAGCUAGGGAGUGGGAGAGGUACACGGUACUCGAUAGGAAGGGGUAAAAUCCUUUGAUCUAUUGAUGACCACCUGUGGCGAAGGCGGUGUACCAGAACACGUUCGACGGUGAGGGAUGAAAGCUGGGGGAGCAAACCGGAUUAGAUACCCGGGUAGUCCCAGCUGUAAACGAUGCAGACUCGGCGAUGCAUUGGCUUGUGGCCAAUGCAGUGCCGCAGGGAAGCCGUUAAGUCUGCCGCCUGGGAAGUACGUACGCAAGUAUGAAACUUAAAGGAAUUGGCGGGGGAGCACCACAAGGGGUGAAGCCUGCGGUUCAAUUGGAGUCAACGCCAGAAAUCUUACCUGGGGAGACAGCAGAAUGAAGGUCAAGCUGAAGACUUUACCAGACACGCUGAGAGGUGGUGCAUGGCCGUCGCCAGCUCGUGCCGUGAGAUGUCCUGUUAAGUCAGGUAACGAGCGAGACCCCUGCGUCUAGUUGCUACCAUUACUCUCUGGAGCAGUGGAGCGAAUUAGACGGACCGCCACAGUUAAUGUGGAGGAAGGAAGGGGCCACGGCAGGUCAGUAUGCCCCGAAACCCUAGGGCUACACGCGGGCUGCAAUGGUAUUGACAAUGUGUUCCGAAUCCGAAAGGAGGAGGCAAUCAUCAAACAAUAUCUCAGUUAUGACUGAGGGC
rnacentral:rRNA from 1 species